UACGUAGGCAGCGAGCGUUGUUCGGAGUUACUGGGCGUAAAGGGUGCGUAGGCGGUCGGGUAAGUCUGGCGUGAAAUCUCCAAGCCUAACUUGGAAACUGCGUUGGAUACUAUCCGGCUCGAGGAAUGGAGGGGAGACUGGAAUACUUGGUGUAGCAGUGAAAUGCGUAGAUAUCAAGUGGAACACCAGUGGCGAAGGCGAGUCUCUGGACAACUUCUGACGCUGAGGCACGAAAGCUAGGGGAGCAAACAGG
rnacentral:rRNA from 1 species